rnacentral:rRNA from 1 species
AUUGAACGCUGGCGGCAGGCCUAACACAUGCAAGUCGAGCGAGCGGCGGACGGGUGAGUAAUGUAUGGGGACUGCCCGAUCGAGGGGGAUAACUACUGGAAACGGUGGCUAAUACCGCAUACUAUCGGAUAACCCAUAUGGGAUUAGCUAGUAGGUGGGGUAAAGGCUCACCUAGGCGACGAUCUCUAGCUGGUCUGAGAGGAUGAUCAGCCACACUGGAACUAAGACACGGCCAAGACGCAUGCGGAGGCAGGAGUGGGAAAUAUUGCAGAAUGGGCGCAAGCCUGAUGCAGCCAUGGCGCGUGUAUGAAGAAGGCCUUAGGGUUGUAAAGUACGUUCAGCGGGGAGGCGUUACCCGAAGAAGAAGCACCGGAGAACUCCGUGCCAGCCGCCGCGGUAAUAC